rnacentral:rRNA from 1 species
AUUGAACGCUGGCGGCAUGCCUUACACAUGCAAGUCGAACGGCAGCACGGGAGCAAUCCUGGUGGCGAGUGGCGAACGGGUGAGUAAAGUAUCGGAACGUGCCCAGUCGUGGGGGAUAACGUAGCGAAAGUUACGCUAAUACCGCAUACGAUCUAUGGAUGAAAGCGGGGGAUCGCAAGACCUCGCGCGAUUGCAGCGGCCGAUAUCAGAUUAGGUAGUUGGUGGGGUAAAGGCUCACCAAGCCGACGAUCUGUAGCUGGUCUGAGAGGACGACCAGCCACACUGGGACUGAGACACGGCCCAGACUCCUACGGGAGGCAGCAGUGGGGAAUUUUGGACAAUGGGCGCAAGCCUGAUCCAGCCAUGCCGCGUGCAGGAUGAAGGCCUUCGGGUUGCAAACUGCUUUUGUACGGAACGAAAAGGUUUGACUUAAUACGUUGGACUCAUGACGGUACCGUAAGAAUAAGCACCGGCUAACUACGUGCCAGCCGCCGCAGUAA